UACGUAGGGGGCAAGCGUUGUCCGGAUUUAUUGGGCGUAAAGAGCUCGUAGGCGGUUGGGCAAGUCACGUGUGAAAUCUCCACGCUCAACGUGGAGGCGCCACGUGAGACUGCCCUGACUCGAGUCCGGUAGGGGAGCGUGGAAUUCCCGGUGUAGCGGUGAAAUGCGCAGAGAUCGGGAGGAACACCCGUAGCGAAGGCGGCGCUCUGGGCCGGUACUGACGCUGGAGGAGCGAAAGGCGUGGGGAGCAAACAGG
rnacentral:rRNA from 1 species